rnacentral:rRNA from 1 species
GAUGAACGCUGGCGGCGUGCCUAAUACAUGCAAGUCGAGCGAACAGACGAGGAGCUUGCUCCUCUGACGUUAGCGGCGGAGGGGUGAGUAACACGUGGAUAACCUACCUAUAAGACUGGGAUAACUUCGGGAAACCGGAGCUAAUACCGGAUAAUAUAUUGAACCGCAUGGUUCAAUAGUGAAAGACGGUUUUGCUGUCACUUAUAGAUGGAUCCGCGCCGCAUUAGCUAGUUGGUAAGGUAACGGCUUACCAAGGCAACGAUGCGUAGCCGACCUCAGAGGGUGAUAGGCCACACUGGAGCUGAGACACGGUCCAGACUCCUGCGAGAGGCAGCAGUAGGGAAUCUGCCGCAAAGGGCGAAAGCCUGACGGAGCAACGCCGCGUGAGUGAUGAAGGUCUUCGGAUCGUAAAACUCUGUUAUUAGGGAAGAACAAAUGUGUAAGUAACUAUGCACGUCUUGACGGUACCUAAUCAGAAAGCCACGGCUAACUACGUG